AGAGCAACGUCGAGGGGAUGAGGCAGGAAGGCAGCUACAGCAGCAUUGGGAGGCAUGAGAGCAGCAGCAUCGUUUCAGCAGCUGGUGCCGGAGUGACCACAGCUCCCACGUUCAGGUCACCAGAGCAGCAGCUGGGGAUCCCCCGUUAAGCUGGCCCAUCUCUCCCCAGCACCAGCAGCCAAGGCCAAGAGAUAGGAAACAAUCGAUGGUGAGUUGCGUGAAUCAGAGAGCUUUGUCGAACGUCAAGGCCUUGAGGAGGCAAUCGUCGAGGGGUUUGGAUUCCUAAGGACCUGAGGGUUGCCCUUGAGUCCUUCAUUGAAUGAAGUACGUCAUUCGUGGCAGAAGCAAAGAGUUUGUCACCGUCAAAGGGAAGAUCUUCAAUGAUACUCUGGACCUCUCGUGGAAAGGAAGAAGAGAGCCAUGAACCUUGGUGCAUGACCACUGCUGUGGCGGUGGAUCUUGCCGCAGUAUUGGCUGCAUCAAGGGCCGCUUGAAGAGUCGUACAUGAUAUGAUUUGUCCCUCAGAGACUGAAGCUGUGAAUUGUUGCUUCUUUUCAUCUGGAAU